GUAUAAGAGACAGCAGUAGCCACGGUAAUACAGAGGGUGCAAGCGUUAAUCGGAUUUACUGGGCGUAAAGCGUGCGUAGGUGGCUGUUUAAGUCGGAUGUGAAAGCCCUGGGCUUAACCUGGGAACUGCAUUCGAUACUGGAUAGCUAGAGAUCGGUAGAGGGCAGCGGAAUUCCGGGUGUAGCGGUGAAAUGCGUAGAUAUCUGGAGGAAUACCGAUGGCGAAGGCAGCCAUCUGGCCUAAUACUGACGCUGAGGUACGAAAGCAUGGGGAGCAAACAGGAUUAGAUACCCCAGUAGUCCCUGUCUCUUAUAC
rnacentral:rRNA from 1 species